rnacentral:lncRNA from 1 species
GUUUAAAACCUUUCUGCUCUACUGGAUUUAUUGACGGUAAACAGAGCACAUUAUCUGAAGAAAGAAGUGCAAAAGUACAGUACAUGUACCCUCUGUUCAGCAGGCCAACAGACCGAAUGACAUGGACUAAAACGUGAUGUGAUACAUACCCCCAUCACAUGAGUUCAUCACAGUAGACUGAAUUGUCGAGGAAUGAAUUGUUUAUAGAAUGCUUGCUAGUCCUUCCUUCUUGGCAGCCGGCCUGUUCCCAGGGAAUGCAGUGCGGGAUAC